GGGCCCAUAGCAUAGCCUGGAUAGUGCGGCCGGCUUCGGACCGGCAUACCGGGGUUCGAAUCCUCGUGGGCUCA
rnacentral:tRNA from 1 species